rnacentral:tRNA from 1 species
UGUCCAGUAGCCUAGUGGACAUGGCAUCUGCCCGGUAAGUAGAACACUGUGGGUUCGAUUCCCAUCCCUGGACAC